UCCCUGGCAGUCCAGUGGUUAGGACUUUGCGCUUGCACUGCCAUGGCCCCAGGUUCAAUCCCUGGUCAGGGAA